CUCUCUCUGCGUGAAAACUCAAUAGCUGAUCAGAUCGAGCUGGUACGUCUCUCUCUGUCUCUCUCGACUCGGAACAUUGCGUAUGUAUAGGUACUGGACUGAGAUUCUCAGUUCGAGGCUUUGGGAUUUUGUUUGGUUGUUUAGAAAUUAGAGGUUUCGAGAAUUGGGCGAAGGGUUUAGCAGUGGUUCUGCUAUUAAGCGUAGUACAGUGGCCAUUGCAUGCAAAACGAAGCGAAUGGACUCGUACAGAUCUUGUUUUUGUGAAACCUCCCUCACAAAUUUCGGCGAACGCCAAUCCGUUCAACACCAAGGCAUGGCAAAGAAAAGAUGACUUCAUAUUUGCGAAAUAAAGCAACAUUCACAACCUAGUCUCUCACAUGGAUCUCCACAUCGUACCCAAUCACGUGGGGCUUCACAACCCACCCAGCCACAUGGAUCUUCACAGCCAACCCAGUUGCAUGGCACUUUACAGACUACCCAUUUGCCCAGAGCUUCACAGCCUCACCAUUUGCCCAGAACUUCACGGCCUUCCAACUCGCAUAACUCUUCACACCCUAUCCAAUCCCAUGGCUCUUCACAGCCUCAUGAGGCAGAGAACUUGGAUGUACAGUCAAAUGAACGGUUUCAAGGUACUUUUCACAAUGAUUAGUUUUAUUCUUGCUAGUUUAAUAACAUGGUAAAGUGAUUGAGUAAUUCUGAAUGAAUUGGUCCGCAUGUUUUUUUACGUUGUUGUAAGCCAUUGAUCAUUAGAUAAAAGCAGCCAUCAUGUUCUAAGUGCCUUAAUACACAAAAUAGUAGGCUAAGAAGAUUACUUGAUAUUUAUAUUGAUGAUUCAUUCCCUUUUUUACUUGGAUGUCUUUUUUUCCCACAUUGUUUUAGUUAAUGCUCAACCAAUGGAUAAGACUUGGAUGACGAAGAGUAGAUCAUCAAGAGACUAUUUGCAAGGGGUUAUCGACUUUUUGCACUUUGCUUCUCUCAGUGCGUCGAAGGAGGGAACAAUUUUAUGUCCAUGUGUGCAAUGUGUGAAUUCAUUCAUGUUGAGCCUCAAUGUUGUCCAUGAUCACUUAGUCUCAUUUGGCAUUAGUCAAGGUUAGGAUUGUUGGUAUUAUCAUGAGGAAACUAUCUCGGCAGCAACUUCUAGCAAAACUUGUGAGACUCCUAUUGAACAAAUAGGACUUCAGUUUGGUGACAGAAGAAAUGUUGCAUGAUGUGUUUUACAUGCAUACUCGAUCUACGGAUGACAUUAGAGAUGAAACAAAUGAAGCAGAACCCUUUAGCCAAGGUCCAAGUGAACAACCUAAUGAAAAUGCACAAAGAUUCUACGACUUGCUCAAAGAUGCCAAGCAACCUCUUUAUGAAGGUUGCAAGAAUUUUAGCAAGCUGUCAGCCAUCGUGCAUUGGUAUCACUUAAAGUGCCUUAGGGGGUUGAGCAACGAGACAUUUACAAUGAUUCUCUAAACAUUGAAAGCUAUGCUUCCUCCAGAUGCUAAAUUACCGAAGGACUGCUACGAAGCCAAGAAGAUUAUCAAGGAUUUGGGUCUUGGUUAUGAGAACAUUCAUGCUUGUCCUAAGGAAUGUAUGCUAUUUUGGGAGGAACAUGCAAAUGAUGAUUUUUGUAAAUGUGGUGCUUCAAGGUGGGCUAGAAAUGAUGAUUCAGAGCCUAAUUUGAGUACUUCAUCCAAAAGGUAAAGAAAAAGGCUGCAAAGGUUCUGCAAUGGUUGCCCGUGAAAACAAGAUUGCAAAGACUAUAUGGCAUUAGAAAUAGCGGAAUCUAUGAAAUGGCACGUUGAGGGUCUGACAAAGGAUGUUAAAAUGAGGUAUCCUGCUAAUACUUCUGUAUGGAAAUCUUUUGACUCUAAACAUAAAGAUUUUGCCGACCCCGCAAUGUAAGAUUGGGAAUAACAUCUGAUUCCCUAAGGUUUAAUGUGGUUGAUGAAAAGAGAGAAUGAGAGACAAAGAAACUCUACGUAAACUAGAAGAUAAGGUGCAAGCUCAAGAGGUUGAAAUUAGCAAUUUAAAAGAACAAGUGGCUUUCGUGAUGAGAUAUAUGCCUGAGAUUACUGGAUUACAGGUUCGAGAUGGUUGUAAUGGCCCCCUUAUCAGGCUUCUCCACAAGCACAUCAAAGAUCAUCGCACGCAAGUCAUGACAUCGAAUGUUUUGAUUGAGGUACAUUCUUACAUUGUACAGGAGCUGAAAUUACUUAGUUGGAAAUGUGUGCUACACUCUAUAUACUGCUUAUGUCGUUUUGAUAUCUUUACCCAUUGCCUAUUUUUGGGUUUCUGCUACUGCUGGAAAUGAUUUAGUUGUUUGAGUUGAUGAGCUGAUCGGAAAUAUUUGUUUGUUUGAGUUGAUGAUCUAAAUUUGGAUUUGUCUAAUGAAAAUAUGCAUGUCUCCUCCAUUUGGAUAUGUCUAUGAGGCUAUGAGGCUAUGAGCUAGUGUUGUAUUCACCGGCACAAUGUUUUGAAGACAUCUCCUCAUGAAGAGCUUAAUCUUCAUUUGUGCUUUAGUAUACCAAAUUCUCCUCCAUUUGCUGUCAUCCUCGUGAACUCCACUAGCCUGACCCUAUUGGCCUCUCUGUUGUUGCACCAUCUGCUUUGCAAUAACAUAAGCUGUCUUGACCAAGAACUUACCAUUAAUUUAAGUCAUGUAUAGGUCAU